GUUGAACGGCCACAUUGGGACUGAGACACGGCCCAGACUCCUACGGGAGGCAGCAGUGGGGAAUAUUGCACAAUGGGGGAAACCCUGAUGCAGCGACGCCGCGUGGAGGAAGAAGGUCUUCGGAUUGUAAACUCCUGUUGUUGAGGAAGAUAAUGACGGUACUCAACAAGGAAGUGACGGCUAACUACGUGCCAGCAGCCGCGGUAAAACGUAGGUCACAAGCGUUGUCCGGAAUUACUGGGUGUAAAGGGAGCGCAGGCGGGCGAUCAAGUUGGAAGUGAAAUCCAUGGGCUCAACCCAUGAACUGCUUUCAAAACUGGUCGUCUUGAGUAGUGCAGAGGUAGGCGGAAUUCCCGGUGUAGCGGUGGAAUGCGUAGAUAUCGGGAGGAACACCAGUGGCGAAGGCGGCCUACUGGGCACCAACUGACGCUGAGGCUCGAAAGUGUGGGUAGCAAACAGGAUUAGAUACCCUGGUAGUCCACACCGUAAACGAUGAUUACUAGGUGUUGGGAGAUUGACCCUCUCAGUGCCGCAGUUAACACAAUAAGUAAUCCACCUGGGGAGUACGACCGCAAGGUUGAAACUCAAAGGAAUUGACGGGGGCCCGCACAAGCAGUGGAGUAUGUGGUUUAAUUCGACGCAACGCGAAGAACCUUACCAAGUCUUGACAUCCCUUGACGAUGCUGGAAACAGUAUUUCUCUUCGGAGCAAGGAGACAGGUGGUGCAUGGUUGUCGUCAGCUCGUGUCGUGAGAUGUUGGGUUAAGUCCCGCAACGAGCGCAACCCUUAUGGUCAGUUACUACGCAAGAGGACUCUGGCCAGACUGCCGUUGACAAAACGGAGGAAGGUGGGGAUGACGUCAAAUCAUCAUGCCCUUUAUGACUUGGGCUACACACGUACUACAAUGGCGUUAAACAAAGAGAAGCAAGACCGCGAGGUGGAGCAAAACUCAGAAACAACGUCCCAGUUCGGACUGCAGGCUGCAACUCGCCCGCACGAAGUCGGAAUUGCUAGUAAUCGUGGAUCAGCAUGCCACGGUGAAUACGUUCCCGGGCCUUGUACACACCGCCCGUCACACCAUGAGAGCCGGGGGGACCCGAAGUCGGUAGUCUAACCGCAAGGAGGACGCCGCCGAAGGUAAAACUGGUGAUUGGGGUGAAGUCGUAACAAGGUAGCCGUAGGAGAACCUGCGGCUG
rnacentral:rRNA from 1 species